CUCGUAGGCGGUUCGUCGCGUCCGGUGUGAAAGUCCAUCGCUUAACGGUGGAUCCGCGCCGGGUACGGGCGGGCUUGAGUGCGGUAGGGGAGACUGGAAUUCCCGGUGUAACGGUGGAAUGUGUAGAUAUCGGGAAGAACACCAAUGGCGAAGGCAGGUCUCUGGGCCGUCACUGACGCUGAGGAGCGAAAGCGUAGGGAGCGAACA
rnacentral:rRNA from 1 species